rnacentral:rRNA from 1 species
AAGUCGUAACAAGGUUUCCGUAGGUGAACCUGCGGAAGGAUCAUUAGUAUUGGAUAUACGUUCCAAACCCCCAUUGGUGUAUCUUACCUGUUGCUUCCGUGCUGCGCGGACUUUGGUCCCCUCUUCCGGUACUUCAGUAUUGUUCAGAGUGUCGGUACGGGAGGUAUACAUCAAACUCUUGCAUUUCAUGUCAUCUGUCUGAACUGUUUAUAAAAACAAGUUAAAACUUUCAACAACGGAUCUCUUGGUUCUCGCAUCGAUGAAGAACGCAGCGAAAUGCGAUAAGUAGUGUGAAUUGCAGAAUUCAGUGAAUCAUCGAAUCUUUGAACGCAUCUUGCGCUCCUUGGUAUUCCGAGGAGCAUGCCUGUUUGAGUGUCAUUUAAAUUCUCAACCACACCAGAUUUCUUUCUGAUGUGGCUUGGAUGUGGGGGUUUUGCUGGCUUUUUAUAUAUUGAAGUCGGCUCCCCUAAAAUGAAUUAGUAGUAUCUGAGCAGAGAAAGUACUACAGGUGUGAUAAAUUAUCUAUGCCUCUAGUAUGCUGCAUGAACAGAUUAUGCUGCUUCUAAAAAAUAUUUGAUUGAUGAAUUUGACCUCAAAUCAGGUAGGACUACCCGCUGAACUUAAGCAUAUCAAUAAGCGGAGGAAAAGAAACUAACAAGGAUUCCCCUAGUAACUGCGAGUGAAGCGGGAAAAGCUCAAAUUUGAAAUCUGGCAGUUCUUGACUGUCCGAGUUGUAAUCUAGAGAAGUGUUACCUGUGCUGGACCGUGUACAAGUCUCCUGGAAUGGAGCAUCAUAGAGGGUGAGAAUCCCGUCUUUGACAUGGACUACCUGUACAUUAUGGUGCGCUCUCGAAGAGUCGAGUUGUUUGGGAAUGCAGCUCAAAAUGGGUGGUAAAUUCCAUCUAAAGCUAAAUAUAGGCGAGAGACCGAUAGCGAACAAGUACCGUGAGGGAAAGAUGAAAAGCACUUUGGAAAGAGAGUUAAACAGUACGUGAAAUUGCUGAAAGGGAAACGCUUGAAGUCAGUCACGUCUGCCAGGACUCAGCCUUGCUUCUGCUUGGUGUACUUUCUGGUUUGAUGGGCCAACAUCAAUUUUGACCGUUGGAGAAAGGCCUUGGGAAUGUGGCACCUUCGGGUGUGUUAUAGCCCUUUGCUGUAUACGACGGUCGGGAUUGAGGACUGCAGCACGCCUCCAUGGCCGGGGUUCGCCCACGUACGUGCUUAGGAUGUUAGCAUAAUGGCUUUAAGCGACC